UGCGUAGGCGGUUUGUUAAGUCCGUUGUGAAAGCCCUGGGCUCAACCUGGGGAUUGCAGUGGAUACUGGCGAGCUAGAGUGCGGUAGAGGAUGGUGGAAUUCCCGGUGUAGCGGUGAAAUGCGUAGAGAUCGGGAGGAACACCCGUGGCGAAGGCGGCCAUCUGGACCAGCACUGACGCUGAGGCACGAAAGCGUGGGAGCAAACA
rnacentral:rRNA from 1 species